rnacentral:lncRNA from 13 species
AUGGUGUGGAUGUUCUUCAGGGUCUUGGGCUCUUUAUUAUUUAAACAUGCACCUGGCCCAAAAGUCAGAGAAGCUGAAGGAGGAUCCAGGGGAAGGUGGAGCAGAUUCAGGACCAGCGGCCCUGUUCCCACAGGUCUACCCGUGGCCCACCCUGACUGGAAGCUUAGAAGAAAGGGAAUUCUAGAAGUGUGGUUCAACAUAGCCAAGUUAACAAAGCCACCAAACCUAACAGCAUUGAUAACGGAGUUUAAAAGGAUGAUCCUGGAUGUUCUAAGGUUUGGUUGCUUGUAUUGGAGCUGGAUAAUGAUGCAUUGAAAAGAUGUUGGAUUUUCUGCAAUAGUCUCAUGAACACAUUAUUUGUUAAUUUUGUGGCCCUCUGUCACUUUAAUAAAGGACAACUCAAAUCUUGGGCUUCA